AGGGUGAGCAGCCGGUACUAUCGUUGGUCCAAAAGGGGGACCAGUUCGCUUCGAUAUGGCUCAAACUGCCCGAUUUGGGAUGGUUCAUGUGAGGACCUGUGCGGAUGUGUUUUUAGUCCCAUAUUGGCGAUGCAUUGGGUAGAUCUUGGGCACUUAUAUAUAUCCGAAAAAUCUAAAAAAUAUCUUUCGGCUAGUCUUUUUGGGUGAGAUUUGGGGUUAUUACAACUAAGAUAUUAGAGCGGACACGUAGCUCGUGUCCCAUGUGGACUAGGAGACACUGCAGUAUGUGCCCAUUUGGACUGACCACAGGCUAAUCGUAGUGCUUGUGAUUGGAUUUCUGGUACUUGUUAUUAGAUUUGAGUGGAUUUGGACCCUUAGCCUGGUGAGGACACUGGGACUUAAACAAGAGGAGAAAGUGAGGAUUCGUGCGAACAUGUGUUAGUCCCACAUUAGCCAUGCACUGGGUAGAUGUUGGGUACUUAUACAGAAUCAAGAAACCCAGAUAAUAUCUUUCCGACUAGCCUCUUUGGGUGAGGUCCUAGUUUGUCAUAGUUUGACCAACCUUGGUACACACACUAGGAAUCUAUUUUUUGCCAUUUGUGGUCACAUGGUAUUUUAUCUUUUCUAUAGGGAUUUCUAAGAAGAAUAGAUUAAAAGCAUCUGGCUUUUUUGUUAACUUGAUCAAAUCAUGAAGAACUCUAUUAUUUUUGCCAUUUGUGGUCAUGUGGCAUUUUAUCUUUUCUAUAGGGAUUUCUAAUAUGAAUAGAGUAAGAGCAUCUGGCUUUGUUAACUUUGUCAGAUCACAAAGAGCAUUUAAAUUUCUUUUUGCAAGGAUUUCUAAAAUGGAUAGAGGGUGUUUAAGCUAUGAGAUGAUUUCCAUAACUACUUGCUCACAUGUUUUUUGAUAUUUUUUCUAGGGUAUCCACUUGAGUUAUUCUUUUGAUAUUUGAGUCCUUUUUACUAUCAACUUGAUAUGUAUUUCAUGUUUUCAGCGACAUUGAAAUGCUUUUUGCAACUCUACAGAGUUGCAACUGGCUAUUCUUGAGAGGGGGUUUCCUAUUUGAUGUCUUCAUACUAAUUGAAUUUUGACCGUCUUAUAUUCUUUAAUAACUGAUCUGUUGAAGCAAUCUUUUAUCAGGGUCUUAUUCAACUACUUUAAAUCAAGAUAGAUCUGGGUUUUUUCUGCAUGGUUAUUUUUGGCUUCUAGAAGAAUAUGGAGGAUGAUGGAUGUAUAUUUUUUCUCUCCUGGCUGUUUGGGUGGUGUAGUCUAUCUUAUUCUUUUAUAUGACCUGAUUAGUGGCAAUUUCCAAGUUUUCAUGUUCGUCAACAUACCUGCAGAGAUUGUGGAGGCUGGUGGUCUCUCUUGCUUUCCUAUCAACUUUUCUUUGCUCUAAUUUUUGAAACUUCUUCAGCUGUAAUGUUUUGAUAAUACCAUGUUAGGAGAUUCAUCAUAAUAGUAUGUAGUUCUAAUGUUGUUUGGGAUGCGAACCACUCUAGAGAGAAUCUGCUAGCUGAUUGCAUGGGCUGCUUGUACUCGAGGAGGUCUUAGAACUUUUUUUCUGCUCAUAUUGAUAACAUAGUUCUGCAAAUCCUUAACUGUGAUGUGUUGACCCUCUGUUAGAUGCAGAAUUUGAAACCUGAUGGCAGUCAUGAUUGUUUAAGAAAUUGCAUGACUGACGUGACAACGAGAGCAACAAGCAAGCAAAGCCAGAGCAUCUGAAGGACAAGUUCUGGUUUUAUGAAUAUGGCCCCAUAAUCGAUAAGUAAACACCCGAAGCUGAAUGGGCUGCUUGUACUCGAGGAGGUCUUAGAACUUUUUUUCUGCUCAUAUUGAUAACAUAGUUCUGCAAAUCCUUAACUGUGAUGUGUUGACCCUCUGUUAGAUGCAGAACUUGAAACCUGAUGGCAGUCAUGAUUGUUUAAGAAAUUGCAUGACUGACAUGACAACGAGAGCAACAAGCAAGCAAAGCCAGAGCAUCUGAAGGACAAGUUCAGAUUAUGGCCCCAUAAUCGAUAAGUAAACAACCGAAGCUGAAUGGAUGUUGCUUGUACUCGAGGAGGUCUUAGAACUUUUUUUCUGCUCAUAUUGAUAACAUAGUUCUGCAAAUCCUUAACUGUGAUGUGUUGACCCUCUGUUUGAUGCAGAACUUGAAACCUGAUGGCAGUCAUGAUUGUUUAAGAAAUUGCAUGACUGACAUGACAACGAGAGCAACAAGCAAGCAAAGCCAGAGCAUCUGAAGGACAAGUUCAGAAUAUGGCCCCAUAAUCGAUAAGUAAACAACCGAAGCUGAAUGGAUGUUGCUUGUAGGUGGCAUGACAUCCAAUUGAAUGUCCACAGUGAUGAUGGGAUUGCAAUAAGAUGCUGCUGUAGAAGUGUGUUCAAAAGGGGCUCCUAAAACUCUUGAAGGAACUGCCCAGAGGAGCCUAUGAUAUUGGUGCUGAUUCAUGAUAGUAAGGUUGUUGCUGCCCAUAUUAAAUGUUACUAAUAAAUAGUUUGCAGCAGCAGCUUAUAGAGUGGUUGUUCCUGUAGUUAGGUGGCUGGAAGCAUGCUCUUAGUAGAAAUAUGUUGGCCUCUAGUAAUUUCUAACCAACAUUCUGUGCAGUGUUUUGAAACCCGGUCGACCUGCCUGAGACUAGUCGCCUGCCAGCCUUUGCAGUGGAUUGGAUCAAUACCUGCAAAAUCUCAAAGCUCUUUCAACUUGACGACCCAAACUGUUCAACUGUUCAAACCAUAGGUUGAACUGGAUUUGGCCCAUCCAGUGUUGAUUGAAAAAGAAAGCAAGAAACCCUUUUGCCUCCCAUUGUAGGCAAAUCAUUGUCAUGGCCACAAGGUUAUCUUACGGCAUGGAUUGCGUUGUUGGGAUAAUGAUGAGGAAGCAUCAAUGGAAGAUUUGGUCUGUGAAUGGAAGAUUUGAGACAGCAAGGAUGGGUCUCACGAGGAUGAAGGGCAGUGGCUGGAUCUCAUGGAAUCAAGGGAAAUGAGGGCGGCAAUGCCAGAUUUGAGGCAGUGUGGCCAUAUCUCACAUGGAGAUAGUGUGGCCUUAUCUCAUGAUGGAGUGGAUGGGGGUGGGGUCAGUUGACAUGCGACCGACUUGCAGUUGAACUGGGAAAACCUGGCCUUAUCUCAUGAUGGAGUGGAUGGGGGUGGGGUCAGUUGACAUGUGACCGACUUGCAGUUGAACUGGGAAAACCUGGCCAUCGUAGUGGUUCGAGUCACCAGGUUUAGAAGACUUACGUCUUUUUUUUUUUUUAAAAUACUCCAGUAGCUAGUUGAGGCAAAUUGUUAAGAAAAUAGUCUAUGAAAUGCACUGUUGCUGGGUUGGAUAGACUUUUUACUUUUUAGGCAUUCUUUUGGUCAACGAGAGCUGAAAUUAAUUGAAAUUUUAGUUGGUACCGAUAUGAAAUUUGUGGAUUGUAGUUGGCACCAACCUUCUUCCAUGGCUAACUUGGCUUGUGCUAGGAGGUGCUGGCAGCUAGCUAGGCUCAAGAGCUAGUGCUUAGCUAUGAUUGUAAGCAUCAUGGUUACUUUGUGGGUCUUAUCCGGGCUGGGCGGAAGUUGACUGCCAAGCAAAUACUUCAACUAAUAAAACAACCAAGUUGUUGGUAGGCUGCAAAUAAUCAAUGCAUCGAAAAGAUUCAGUCACAAAUUUGGGUUCAGUUCAUGGUAGUAAGAGGAUCAGUGAGUUCAAGCUUCAGUUUGAGCACACAAACAGCUUUUUUCUUAACAUAAAUGUCUACCCGCAGGCGAUAAAGACUGGGAGCUGGAGUUGGAAUGCACAGAGAAUGAUGAGUAUUCAUGAUCAAAUCAACAUGCAACAAAUUUAUUGAACUGGAUCACAAGCAAGAGCACAAGGAUCAGAGCUAUUUAGUUCUAAUACCAUGUUAAGAAUCAGCCAAGCUACAUUAUUUGUUAUGGUAUUAAGAAAGGUUCAUAUAUACAUGGUGAUUCCAAUAAUAGGUGAUGAGCUGACCACCUAAAAGCUACAAGCGUACAAUUAUUAUCCACUUUGUUUAUCACCCAAGUGCUAGGAUAUAAAGAUGUUACAUUGACAUUUUCCUUCAGAUUCUUAUCAUUAAAUAGUCACUUUACUAUUGUGAAAGAAAUAGAGUAAAAUAGACUGCACAACAAGGAAAAUCUUAUCACCAAGUUAAAAACUGUGUUAUUCAAAGGCAUAUGUGUUAAAUUGUACAAAGCACGGGAUAAAUUGUACAAAACAAAUAUUACAGCAUAGACUUAUUUAUUCAACAAGUUGAUAUUUAUAUAUCUUCUAUAUAAAAUGGCAGGCUUUGGUGCAAUGAUAAGGUUGCUACAUUGUGACCUAGGUGUCAUGGGUUCAAGCAUGAAAACAGCCUCUCUCUCUGCACUCUAGGGUGAGUUUUCUGGUAGAUGUUAUCAGCAACCAUUCGGAUGCUAUGGAAGGACAUGUCUCCAUGUACAAGAUGCAAAUUAUCGAAUAUCAAACCUCAUAUCGAUGAAGGUUUGGUAUGGGAUACAUCAUGUUAGCAGAGGGUAUUGAUUGAUAUGCUUUGCAUGGUCAGAUGAGGCAAAGGACACCAACCGAAAUGAUGGAACUGGAUUGAUGGUUGAGUUGAGAGGGGCAGAUAAGGAGCGGCUGAUGGAACACCCAGCCGCUACAAAGGCUCUCUUCAAUCAAACGAGUGAAAUGUAGACAUCU